GCAACCUUCAUUUGUCUUGUUUUGUGUAUUAAUUUUAUCCGUAGGGCCAAGAGGGAGCCCUAUACCCAGGUUUGCUGCCUCCCACUUCCCAUACUUGUAGUGUUGGUUUAUUUUAGCGUUGUUUCCUUUGUUUUGUAUAUUUCCAUUCAUGACCAAGCUACCAGGAUGGGGUGCUCCUCGGCAACGACCUGGGCCACCUCACCUUGUAUGUGCACCCCCGGCGUUCCUGAAGAGACUUAUCCAGUGAUGACCGGCAGCACACCCGCACCACCCAGAAUGGCUCACACACUGCGGUUCAGGUAGGCACACAUACCUGUCCCCGUGCCCCAGCUUCCAAUAGUUGCCCCUUGUCCUCCAUGCUCAUCCCAUUGCCCCAGCCUACUGCGAACCUCCAUGUCCUCCAGACCCCAUGCCCUGGGAUACCUCUGCUGAAUCGGGAGGGAAUUGGUCUCCGAUCCUACCCUCAAAACUUAUAGGAGUCGGGUGGCCACUAGUCCAGCGGGGGAAGGGGGAGAACAGUUUAUCUGGGAGCAGGGGUUAUUAUAUCGCUUAGCUGUAAAAGUAUGCAAAGGAACUGCCCCUACUACCACCAAGCAGCUGGUAAUGCCCAAGAAAUACCGCAGGGCGUUAUUGAAGAUAGCUCACGACAUUCCGCUGGCAGGGCAUUUGGGAUAAGUCAUACUAAGCAUCGACUCACCCAAAGCUUCUUCUGGCCAGGCAUUUCCAAUGACUUGUGGCGGUAUUGCCAGUCUUGCAAUGUCUGCCGGAAAGUGGGGCAACCGGGACAAAGCCAAGCUCCAGCCACUACCCAUUAUUGAGGACCCCUUCCGCAGGGUAGUUGUCAACAUGAUAGGUCUCCUGGCUAAGCCUAGUUCCUCUGGGAAGAAAUACAUCCUGACCAUUGUGAACUAUGCUACUCGGUACCCUGAGGUAGUCGCCCUGAAUAAUAUUCAGGCAGAGACUGUAGCUGAGGCCCUGAUGCAAGUUUUCUCCCGGAUGAGUUUUCCCAGGGAGAAAUGACUCACCAACUCUGGAAGUUGUGCGGCAUUAAACCCAUCCCGAGCUCCCCCCAUCAUCAAUGGCACCUUGAAGCAGAUGCUCCGUACCUUUGCAGAGACUCACUAAGAUUGGGAACGAUUCCUGCCACAUCUCCUGUUCACCCAGGAAUCGACAGGGUUCUCUCCCUUCGAACUGAUGUUCGGUAGAGGGUUAGGGGGCCCCUAGACCUGGUUCGUGAGCACUGGGAGGGGAAAGGGAAGCAGGAAGGCUGGAGUUUCAGGACCGGCUGGAGGAGCUCACCCACCUGGUGAGUGGGAACCUCCAGAUGGCCCAGAGGCGCCAGCGCACCGGGUAUGAUCGGAGCGCCAGAAGCCGUAGCUUUCAAGUAGGACAGAAGGUUUUGGUUCUAAAGUCCGUCUGGCAUGACAGGCUACAGGUGGCCUGGCAGGGCCCCUACCGGGUAGUGGAACGGAUGUGUAACACUAUCUAUGUGAUCAGCCCUUGCUCGGGUGGCAGGGUUAGCCGCAGGUUACACGUUAAUAUGCUCAAACCCUACCACAAGCGGACGGAGGAUGUGGCCGUCAUUUGUGCUCCAGCCUCGGAAGAUUUUGACAAUCUUCCCCUGACUGACCUCCUGGAGGAUGGGGUUCAAAUUGGGUCCAUAUAUAGGCUGACCGAAAGGGAAUGCCAGCAAGCAUUGCAGAUGCUGUCGGCCAAGAGGGAGACAUUCUUUGACCUGCCUGGGUGCACCCUCCUGGCAACCCACAGGGUAGAGACCCCCGAACAGUCGCCUCUGAGGCAAACACCAUACCGCAUCCCAGAGGUGGUCCGGGAGAAUAUAAGGCAGGAGAUCCAAGAGAUGCUCCAACCAGGGGUAAUCGAGCCGUCCCAGAGCCCUUGGGCCUCCCCGGUAGUGCUGGUCCCAAAGAGAGACGGAACCACCAGGUUCUGUAUAGACUAAUGGAGGCUCAACAACAAGAUGGUCUCAGACGCUCAAAAGAUUUGUGUAAAGGGUACUGGCAGAUUCCCCUAGUCGCAGAUGCAGUCCCUAAGUCGGCCUUCGUCACCCUAUUUGUCCUAUACCAAUUCAAGGUAAUGUCAUUUGGGAUGAAGAACCACUUUCCAGAGGAUGGUAGACUGGCUGUUAGAUGGCCACCAGGAGUAUGCGUGCGCAUACUUGGAUGAUAUAGCCAUCAACAGCGACACCUGGAAAGAACACCUGGGCCACGUGGGGGCAGUGCUAGACAGUAUUAGAGAGCCAGGAUUGACCUUGAAGCCUGUUGAUGGCGGAAGUACAGUACCUGGGACACCGGGUAGGGUGUGGGAAGCAGAAGCCCGAGCCAGUAGCUAAUUGGCCCUGUCCUCACACAAAGAUCCAGGUGAUGGCGUUUCUGAGGACCGCGGGUUACUAUAGGAAGUUUGUCCCCAACUUCAGUGCCCUAGCUAAGCCCCUCACCGACCUGACCUGCACAGAACUUGCCCCAACAGGUACACUGGACCCCAGAGUGUGAGCAAGCGUUCCAAGCACUCAAGAGGGCUCUUAUUCAUGCCCCUGUCCUGGCUGCUCCUAAUCCGAAUAAACGUUUUCUCAUUCACACAGAUGCCUCCAUGUUUGGAUUAGGAGCAGUGCUGAGCCAGGUCGGGGAUGAUGGGGGAAAUCACCCAGUGGCUUACCUCAGUUAGAGGUGAGCUACGCCGCCAUCGAAAAGGAAUGCUUGGCAAUGGUGUAAGCCCUCAAGAAGCUGCAGCCCUACAUAUAUGGACAACAGUUCACUGAGCUCACAGAUUACAACCCGUUGGAGUGGCUUAACUGGGUCCCUGGGGACAAUGUCAGGCUGUUGCGUUGGAUCCUGGCUCUACAACCCUAUGAUUUCACAUUCACUACCGAGCUGGUAAGCAGAAUGGGAAUGCCGACGGGUUGUCGAGGCAGACAGAGCCGGAGAAGUGCUCUGUGAGUUCUUCCCCGGACAUCC
rnacentral:lncRNA from 1 species